AUUAAAUCAGUUGAAAAGCUUAUCCAAGAAUAUUAAAUCAAAGGCAUAGUUUUCACUAUUUAUUUAAUAAUCUUUGGAUAGAAAGUGUUUAAAUAUCAUGUAUUAGUAUUGCAAAAUCCUUAAGAAUCUAUUUAUUUAUUGCAAUAGUGUACUCAUUAAACUGCUAACUGUUGAGAAUUGAAGAGAGAAAUUCACAUUUUAGCUGUAAAUUACUGAAAUGGAGAAUGUUUCUGAUCCAUUUUUAAAUUUUGUCUAAUAUUUGCAAUUUUUUUGUUACAUCUAGACAGUUGCAGUUUUGUGAAUAAAAUAAUAAAGUUACAUAUCUUAUCUAACUAAAAUAAGUACAUGUGUGUAUAUAUAUAUAAAAGAUGUGUAUGUAUAUAUAGAGUACAUUUUAUCUGCAUUAUACGUAGCCUUACAACCCAGCCAGUAUUGAUGUAUAUUUAUAUUGUAAAAUGUUAUUAUUGCUUUGGACUGACACUAUUUAAUUUAUUCUUGUUAUAUUAUAAAAUAAACAUUUUU